rnacentral:rRNA from 1 species
UACGUAGGUGGCAAGCGUUGUCCGGAUUUACUGGGCGUAAAGAGCGCGCAGGCGGCCGAGUAAGUCGAAUGUGAAAGCCCCCGGCUCAACUGGGGAAGGUCAUUCGAUACUGUUCGGCUUGAAGAUAGGAGAGGGAAGCGGAAUUUCAGGUGUAGUGGUGAAAUGCGUAGAUAUCUGGAGGAACACCGGUGGCGAAGGCGGCAUCCUGGACCGGUAUUGACACUGAGGAGCGAAAGCCAGGGGAGCAAACGGG